rnacentral:lncRNA from 10 species
UGCAGUGGCGUGAUCUCGGCUCACUGCAACAUCCGCCUCCCAGGUUCAAGCGAUUCCCCUGCCUCAGCCUCCUGAGUAGCUGGGAUUACAGGCACCCACCACCAUGCCUGGCUAAUUUUUGUAUUUUAGUAGAGAUGGGGUUUCAUCAUGUUGGCCAGGAUGGUCUCGAUCUCCUGACCUCAUAAUCCACCCACCUUGGCUUCCCAAAGUGCUGAGGUUACAGCCAUGAGGCUCUGCACCCGGCUAUAUACUCCAUUUUCUAAAGGCCACCGCAAGCCACAGGGAAGCCGCAUGGAUGCACAAUGCUCUCAAGGGGAAAAAGUGAAUAUUCUAGAACAACAGUACAAUCCACGACCGUGAAUCUGACCCUGUCCUUCUCACUCCAUACACACCCACAUGGAUUUUCAUAGCAUUCUUAUUUAGAAGAUAUUCUAUGUCCUAUUAAUAUUAUCUUCAUGUAUUUGAUGUAUUUGUGGGGGAUGAUUUGCAGCACAGGUCAUAUAUCUGGAAGUCUUCUGAACAACUAGGAGCCCCUUCAUCCAGACAGUCUGCAUGCUUUCUCCUGUAAUCUUUCCUGCUGGCUCCCUUCAUAGAUGCCUGGCCUGUCUGGGCUUCCCUUCUCUCAAACUGGGCUCACUUACUAAAGUGACCUUUCUCUUGACUAGGCAGCUACUUUGAUGACCUCCUCAAAUGCAAUGCAAAAGCUGGACUCUCCUCCGCCCCCAAGCACUCCCAGGCUCCUGGGCAGGGCCAUCAACUCCACUCCAGCCAUCCCUCCAGACUGGCGCCUGAAAAAUAGAAUUUCUGCUUCAGGCUCUAUCUCUUCAAACCUGGCUGCAGAGUGAAACUCAGCCUUCCCAGCCCUCACAUCCCUGAUGCUUCUGAGGACAAUCCUGCAGGCCCUUUUGGUUCUGAGAACCUGCUGAUUGCUGUCAGAAACUGAAGUGAAAGUGGCAGGUACCAAAUGUAGGAGGCUGCAGUUUCCAGAAUCUUACACCUUCCUCUCUGGCAUGGUCUCCUGGGUGUAUUUUCUGACUCUUUUCUGGAAGGUGCAAUGGAAGCCACAUGGAACUUGAUUUCUCCAUGAAUUCCUGAGUGGGGCUCAGCAAACCAAACUCAUUGGACUGACCUUCCCCUCUCUUUGAGGAUGGGCCAGUUUCUUCCUGUUUUAUGUUACAAAACACAAAAAACAGAGACAUUUUCAAAAUAUAAUAAACAUUUGUUUUUCUACAACUGAAAUUAAACAGAAAUUAAUAUGUUGUCAUAUCUGCUUCAGAUCUCUGUUUUUUAAAAGAAAUAAUUUCAGUUACAGAUAAGGUCCCACCUACAUUCUUCUCCCAUCUAUUCACCCCAUAGAUAUCUACUAACUUGAAGUUUGUGUAAUGUCCAUUUGUGUUUCGUGCUUUUACUAUUUAUGUGUGUCUGCAAAUAAUACAUACCCUAUUACAAUUAAUUUUUUCACUCGACUUUUUCUUAUGAGCUUUCUUCAUGUUGAUAUAUGGUGGCUGUAGUCUAUUCACUGUAAUUAUUAUAUAGUAUUUCACUGUAUGAGUAAACCACAGUUUGUUAGUUGCCUGAUAAGGCACAGUUUAUUUCCAUUUAUUCACUAUUAGAAGCAAUGCUAUCAAGAGAAUCCUUGAAUUUGUUUUCUUGUGCACAUUCACUAGACAUGGUAAUGUCUAAUGUGUCCACAAGAGAGAGGCUAGAAAGGAUAUUGCCAUAGUUUAUGUAUGGUAAGGGUAUAUUUAACUUCUUAAGAAACUGUCAAGCUGUUUUUCAAGGUGUUCGUGCCAUUUUUUUUAUUUCUACCAACAGGGUAUGAGAGUUCCUGUAGCUUCAAUUCCUUACCAACACUUGGUAAUGUGUCUUUUUAAUUUUAAUCAUUCUAGUAGGUAUAAUAAAGGUAUCUCAUGGUAUGGCUUUAAUUUACUUUUCCCUUAUGACUAAUGAUGUUCAGCAUCUUUUCAUGGUAUAUAUUCUUUGUGAACUGUCUUAAAUGUUUACCAACAUUUCAUUGGAUUAUUUUCUUCUUAUUAAGCUGGAAUAAGUUCUUUACAUAAUCUGGAU